GCCUUCUUCAAGGACGCAGCAUCUGUCACAGACGGGGGGCUGAGGGGGGUCUGGUCACCGGGCCGGGGAGAGUGGGCCGGGGCCGCGAUCCUGGCCGCCAGGGAGCAGCGGUCUGGACGCCUCCCUAGAAGGGCGCCUCCCUUUACGUGCGCUCGGCCAGACCCUGGGGACAGGGGAGGCUCCGCCGUGGCCCUCAGGGGUCGCCUCCCCGGGCGGGGCGGGGGCGGGGCGAGAGCGGGGCGGGGCCUUCCCGAGCGGGGCGGGGGGUGGGGCGGGGCCUCCCAGGGCGGGACGGGGUCGUGGCGGGGGUCGUGGUGGGGCGGGGCCUCCCCGGGCGGGGCGGGGUCGUGGCGGGGCAGGGCCGCCUUGCCCACCUUGCAGGCUCUCGGCGCGGGCCAGCUCCUGCGUGAUGACCAGGUCCAUGGCGCCGGCGCCCGGCUCGUCCGCCCUCCCCGCUCCGCGGUGCGUCCCGCUGCCCAGGGCCGGUUGGGUUCCGCCCGCGCGGACCGGCCGCGGUUGCCUGGCGACCGAAAAGGACGCGGACGGCGGCCUACGGGUCGGCGGCGGGGCCACACUUGUCGGAAGGCGAACGGCCCACGCGCACGCCCUGCGGCCCCCGCCAGCGUCCCGGGAGCGAGGACACGGGGCCGGCGACUCCCGCGGAGGCCGGGGCGAGGGGCGGGGGCGCCGAGGGGUGCGCGCGGGCCGUCCUCUCCCCGCUCCGGGCCCGGGUGUGCCGGGUUCUGGUGCCGGCCUCGGGCUCACCCUCCGCCUACCGGGGAACGUCUUCCUGCGUCCCCCGCGCCUGCGCUCGUCCGCUCAUUCAUUCAUUCAUUCAUUCCGUCAUCCCUUUCACGAGUGGUGAUUUGCCCCCGCCAUGCGCCUGGAAGGGGAAACGCGGGCCUGCGGACGUGGAGGAGCCGCCGGGGUUGGGGGCGAGCUGAGACCUGGCAGCGGCGGGGUCAAGGCGGGGGGAGCAGACGCAGGGCAGCGGCCCCCCAGGGAGCGGGAAGCGCGCGUUGUCCGGGCGGCGGCUACGACCGGAGUUGGAGACUUGGCCAAUGGAGGACUUGGCUCAUCCGGGGGUGGGGAGGGCCCGGGACUCACCCGGCGACAGGCACGCUCGGGAGCUCUAGGGAAAGCCCAUCUGGGGGAGGAGGACCCCCAGGGAGAAGCCCAUCUGGGAGAGGCCCGCCCGGGGGCGACCCCCUGGGAGAUGACCCCCAGGGAGAGGACACCCUGGACAGGACCCCCGGGGAGAGGACCCCCAGGGAGAAGCCCAUCUGGGUAAGGUCCGCCCGGGAGAGGCCCCCAGAGACCAGGUUGUGUCAGGAGUGCGGAGCCCACAGGAGUUUGAGAUCCAAGCCCAGGGCGCUGGGUGGGGAGGGGGGAUGCGGGGCGAACUCAGAUGCCUGGAGGCGUCGAAUGCCGGGAGUCAGGGCAGGCUGGGGGCCCAGGGCACAGGACCUGCUGAGGGGCACAGCGUGCGAGGGGAAGGGGAGCCGGGGGGUGGGUCCCGGGGGCGGGGGCAGCAGGUCCCGGUGGUCUCCUUCGCGAGCCAAGCGCGGAGGAGCGGCUGACCUUGGCCUGGAGGCCCGGGGUCCAGGGCCCGGCUUCUCGGGCUCAGUGCGUCCGGCAGGAAGGGCCGGGAGGUGGCGGCGGCCUCGCACUGCAGGCCUAGGGGGUCAGGGCGGGAAGGGCGAGGACGGGGUGGGGCACGGGGGGAGGGGAGGGGUCGUCCUCUGGGGCCGGGCCCGGAGGUGCAGGGAGGGCGGAAGGACGUGGCCGAGCUGA
rnacentral:lncRNA from 13 species